UGUUGUAAAGAAUGAAACCUGAGAAAGACUCAAUAAGUAGAUGCCAAUUGAAACUUGAAAUCUGAAUUGAGAUUCAGUUGUUCUGAUUUGGAGCAAGCAGCCCAACACUUUACAUAGCAUCAGCUGGAACACUUUUGCCUCAACUGUUAAUUUAAGAAAAGUUAAAAGUCUUCAAACAAUGCAACAAUGCCAAGAAAAAGAAUUUCAUGUACAAAAUUAAAUGGUGGUUCCACCUCCCUGCACAGCAUCACUUCUUAGAGGUUACUCAUACCAACCCCAGUCAGGUCCAUUUUAUGACUGGCUAAGUCUGGAAAAAAACUCUGAAUCCACUUCUUUAGAAUCAAUGGAUCCCGAUGGUCAAACGAGUCUAUAGAUGCUGAUAGGAUUCCACAGUCCUCGGUAGCGCCUGAGCCGUUAGAUCUGACCACAGAUACAGUUCAUGGACCAUAAACAGGCAUGAAAAGUUGUUAAACUUCUAAGCCACAGUAGUUACUAUCAGGCCAGCUUUAGAAAUGUUACAAUCUUUAUACUUUUAAAUAUUUUACCUGUAUAAGCAAACACAUAGGCAAUUGAUAGAAAUGACAGUAUUCUCAUUUAUAGAAUGUUUUUCCUAGUAUCUAACUACUCAAGUAAAAAAGCCCUGAUUAAUAAAUAUUCU
rnacentral:lncRNA from 12 species